rnacentral:hammerhead_ribozyme from 1 species
ACUGAGGAGUCCCACAACAGGACGAAACGGCCGUCC